rnacentral:rRNA from 1 species
GCCAAAGUGGCGCAGGAGCGGACGGCGCAGUGGGCAGCCGAGCACGCCCGCGUUCCAGGUGGAGGCACGCACCGUGACGGCGGCUGCAACGACCAGGACCGCGGCCUCUACGAGGUCCGGACUGGGGUCAAGGAUGUUGGUUCCAGUGUUGGGUGGCCUACCCUCACUAAAACCAACUACGUCGAGUGGGCCGGGAUCAUGAAGGUCAAUCUCCAGGUGCGGCGCAUGUGGGAGGCAGUCCAGGACAGCAACGUCGACCACCUAGAGGAUCGACGGGCGCUGGACGCCCUCAUCGCUGCAGUCCCGCCCGAGAUGCAGUUCUCGCUUUCCAACAAGCGGACUGCCAAGGAGGCUUGGGACGCCAUCGCCGCGGCACGCAUCGGCAGCGAUCAUGCUCGCAAGUCCACCCUGCAGGCACUCUGUAAGGAGUGGGAGAGCCUGGGUUUCAAGCCAGGUGAGGACGUUGAUGACUUUGCUCUCCGUCUCAACACUCUGCUGCAAAAGUUGGUGAAGUUUGGCGAUGACACCUACACCGAGGAGAGAGCUAUCGAGAAGCUUUUUCGGUGCAUCCCCGAGAAGUACAAGCAGAUGGCUCGGUCGAUCGAGUCUUUGCUGGACCUCUCCACGAUGACGAUCUAG